rnacentral:lncRNA from 1 species
UAAAUUAAAACUAUAUAUUAUUACAUAAUAAAUAAUGUAUAUUCAUAUAAUAAUUACAAAAAAUUAAAAUAAAAUAAUAAUAAUGAUAAAAAAAAAAAAGGGUUGUGGUGUUACAGCUCAGCUCAAUAUUCUCUGUACAGAUCUAGUUCCAUGCGCAAAGCUCUUCUUCAACCCGUGUAUUGCGCAGGCUCGACGCGGCUCCUUCUCUGGACAGGUCUGAUUCUGCCACAUGCAGAAAUGGUCAGAUGGGUUGGUUCUUAUGAUCAGAGGCGCGCAAAUCUGGUUUCUUUCGCUGCUGGUCGGUCUUUUGGUCAGACACGCAUAGAUCUGAUUUCUUCUCCCGCUGGUCAGCCUUCUGGUCAGACGCGCGCAAAUCUCCUUUCUUCCCUUCUCUAUCUCAUAUUUGACUUUGUAGGGUAGUGAUAAGAGUAGAUUUUGAUAAAUGGAUACUAAUCUAGCCUAUUGUACUAUUUUAGAGUUUGAAUACAAUCCUGAAAUUAAAACUCUAAAAUAAUUUUAUCUGCAUAUGAUAUAAUGUCGG